UCUUUUUAUUUUCCAUUCAAACGCAAUCGCGGACGUGGUAGGGGCUGGAGCGAGCUGAGCGACCCCUUGCCUCUCCCCCUCCGAUUGUGCGCAUUUAACCCCGUAUAUAAGCUGAUCGAUCUCCCAUCUCUCCAGAAAACAAACCCUAACCUCUGAAUUCUCACAAAAACCAGAUCCUUCGCCGCUCUCCCUCGAAUCUUGAAUCCUAUUGUCGGCAUCAUAGUCUCUCCACCGUCGAUCGCGAGAUCGCGCCAGAAAUCUAGCGAAUUGUGAUUGAUGAUGAAUCUUGUUGGUGGUAUAUAUAACUGAAGAACUAUUAAGUUUGAGAAGUGAAUCAUAUAAUUCAGGAUCAUCAUGGCGAUGCUAUUGGUUGGAGCAUGAGGUUUUCACAUAGAAAUGACUCACUCUUGGUUAGAUGAUGUGAAUGUGCCUUCAACAUCAAGUUCGCACUCUAGUUCUCAGCAUGCAGUUCUUCAAUUUUCAUCCCCUUCUUCCUUGAGGCAUGGUGGAGGCAAUGUCUACCGCUUGUUAGCAUUGAGGGAGAUCACUCCUCGAGCGAAACAUUCAAAAAGGCUGUGGGGAGAAGCUUCUAAAAGGGCUGUUGAUUGCUUUGGGCCCAAAUGUGAAUCAACAGAUGCAAGACAUGGUCUCAUUACAUGGGUGGAAGCAGAGUCAUUACGGCAUUUAUCUGCGAAGUAUUCUCCUCUUGUUCCUCCUCCACGGUCAACUAUUGCUGCAGCAUUUAGUCCUGAUGGGAAGACCCUUGCAUCUACGCAUGGUGACCACACUGUUAAGAUAAUUGAUUGCCGAACUGGAAGCUGUUUAAAGGUGUUGAGUGGCCAUCGACGGACACCAUGGGUGGUCAGGUUCCAUCCUGUACAUUCACAAAUACUUGCAAGUGGAAGCUUGGAUCAGGAAGUUCGCUUGUGGGAUGCAAAUACUGCAGAGUGUAUAGGAUCGCGUGAUUUUUAUCGUCCUAUUGCUUCUAUUGCUUUUCAUGCCCAAGGGGAACUCCUCGCUGUAGCCUCAGGUCACAAGCUGUAUAUAUGGAACUACGACAAGAAACGAGAGGCACCCUCGCCAACCAUUGUACUGAAGACACGGCGUUCACUGAGGGCUGUGCAUUUUCAUCCACACGGUGCCCCAUUUCUUUUGACAGCCGAGGUAAACGAUCUUGAUUCUCCAGAUUGUCCAAUGACACUAGCAACAUCUCUUGGUUACUUGCGUUAUCCUGUUCCUACCCCUGCUGUAUGUUUUGCAAAUGAUCAUACUUGUGCCCAUCCAAAUUUGGAAGCUAAAGUGCCAUCCACGUCUUUCCCUUACUUUCUCUGGCCUACAUUUGUAAAACAUGGAGGGAUACAGCAUGGAAAUAGAGCCAUUGGUUCGACCAAUGGUCAGCAAAAUGCAGAAUUCUCUGUUUCAGCUAACCACCAAACGGAUUCAAAUAUACGGAGCCAAAAUACUUAUUCAGUGUCCCCUUUGGAGAUGUCCCCGGUGAUACCUUCUGACUCAAGUACUGCGACAGAAGAUGUAACUGCUAAUGGUUUUCUGAGCGAAAUGGAAAAUGCAGUUUCUAUGAGUCGAGUUCAGCGUUCUCUCAGUAUAGCAGAGAAAUCAGAUGAUGCCAGCAAUACUGUACCACCCAAUUUUCAAUCUAAUGGAGCAACUCCCCAGAUGCCCAUUAGGAGUGUUGAGGCUACUUCUGGCAUCCAGCUAUCACAGCUUUCUGGAAAUACUCUUCAAAUGCUCUUAAGAAGUGUGGACAUUGGACAACUUCCUCAGUUUUCUUUUGGUGAUCAAGGAUGUUGGGAACUACCCUUCUUGCAAGGGUGGUUAUUGGGCCAAAGCCAUGCUGGCUUGCAUCCAUCUAUACCUCAUAAUGAUGGACCUCAAGAAAAUUUGCCUGGAAUUCGAGCAUCUGAUAUCCUGUCAUCGCGCAUUCCAGAGGCUUCAUUGGCUUCUUCAGCUAUGGAAACGGGUUUUAGCCAAUCUAGGGUCACUGGACGAUCUGGUUCCCGACAUCGUUCACGCACUCGUUUGAUGGCACCUGCAGGAUCUGGGGAUGUUGCUGCUAAUAACAUUGCAAACAUUGAAAGUGAUCCUCAACCUGGUGUUCAUAGAAUUGAAGAUGAACUUGCUACGUCACUGGCUGCUGCUGCUGCUGCAGAAUUACCUUGCACAGUGAAGUUAAGAAUAUGGCCACACAAUGUACAAGAUCCUUGUUCGCCGCUCGAUGCAGACAAAUGCCGCUUAACUGUACCUCAUGCUGUCCUUUGUAGUGAAAUGGGUGCCCAUUUUUCGCCAUGUGGGAGAUUCUUAGCGGCCUGUGUUGCAUGUGUGCUUCCUCACAUGGAAGCUGAGCCUGGGUUACAGUCACAGGUGCAACAUGAUGUCACAGGGUUUUCAUCUUCACCAACACGGCACCCGAUAUCAGCUCACCAAGUCAUCUAUGAGCUACGGAUUUAUUCCCUAGAGAACGCAACCUUUGGUUUGGUGCUUGCAUCAAGGGCAAUCAGAGCUGCUCAUUGUUUGACUUCCAUUCAGUUCUCACCCACAUCUGAGCACAUACUAUUGGCAUAUGGUCGGCGACAUAAUUCCCUUCUUAGAAGCAUCGUUCUUGAUGGAGAGACGACAAUACCCGUUUACACAAUUUUGGAGGUUUAUAGAGUUUCGGAUAUGGAGCUUGUGAGAAUUCUUCCGAGUUCAGAAGACGAGGUUAAUGUAGCAUGCUUUCAUCCUUCAGUUGGAGGAGGUCUUGUUUAUGGAACUAAGGAAGGCAAGCUUAGAAUCCUUCAAUUUGAUGCUUCUCAUGGCACAAAUUCCGCAGGGCAUUCCUUACUCGAGGUCGAGGGAGAUAAUGCUUGAGGUUAAGACACAUGCUUCAGAAUGCUGAAACCACUUAUGUUGUGUCUGCUAUGCAAUUACAAUCUCUCUAUCUCUCAUCUUGAAAGUAACAGCUGUUGCCUGAUGCUUGAGGGAGAGAAGCUGGAGUUAUUAUGGAGAAUGCUUGCAUAUACCCAUUUUGCUGUAGAGAGCUUAUUGGUGAUUGCAUCCUUCGCUUACAUCUUACAUUCCACCUGUAAAACGGAAACCCUCAUUCAUGUUUCACAAUCUGAAGCAUUUGUUUGUUCAAGUUACGUUUCUCCUCCAAUGUAAGUUAUAGUCCUUGUUUGUGCUGAGCAAUAUGAAAUCGUGCCCCCUCGAUUUAUGCAGAGAAUUUCAGGGAUGGUUGUUCUUUUUAUGAUUAGGCAAGUAUGUUAGCAAUUGAUGUUUCAGCUGA